ACUGCCUUGUUCAGGGGCAGAACAACAGAUUUUUACCUUGUCAGCUCGGGGAUUCGUUUUUGCAACCUUCCGGAUACUAGUCCAACGCUCUAACCACCUGCCUUACAUUGCACUCCACGAGAAGCCUGCAUGGCAGGCUGACUACCUGUUACGCGAGGGCAGCAAGAAGCCAAGGUCAACCUUACCUUUGUUUAUUUUGUCAAUGCCCAACUCAUCUUUGAUGUCUUGAAAAGGAAAAAGAAGUCAACAAUAUUAAUGUGCUGGAGAGACUGAAAACUGCACACAGAGAAGAUGACAAAAGACACAGGCUUAACUCAAGCAGUCUCCACCAGCGCCAUCUCCACCGCUACCUAGGAAGAGGGGAGCUGCUACCGAGAGAGACUAAGACCUUUUCUCGGGAAGAGCCGAACAAAGGCCCUG